AAACUGGGCCUCAUUAAAACCAG
rnacentral:snRNA from 1 species